UAUCAUUCCUGUAUUACAGCAGUGGUACACUUAUGUCCAGCGUGCCAUAUUCCACUGGAAGCCCCUCACGGCCCCUCUGGCACCUCACCAUGCCCCACCAGGGGGUCCCGCCCCACUAUUUGAGAAGUACUGGACUAACCUAACUCAGUGUUCUAUUUGAAAAACCUUUUCUGUAGCGCUCUGUAAAACCAUUGUCAUAUUGACAUUAAAAUUAAUUUGUCUUCCCGCCCCGUCAUCUCCCCCCAACCCUUCACAAUAGCUCAGGACCCCCUCAGUGGGCCCGCCCCCCCACUUUGCAAACCACUGAAUCUCUUCACUCUCUCUCCCUCUAUUUCUCUCUCUCUCUCUCUCUCCCCCUCUAUUUCUCCCUUGUUCUCUUUAUUCUUCUCUCUCUCACCGGAUCUGCUUCAGUCUUUGUCAGAGUGUUGGACGGGGCAGACUGAAGCUGAUCUCGUACAUCAUAAACAGCUGGCAGCAGCAUUUCCCAGCUGUCUGUGGGGCCUUCAUGGAUUCUCCAUACAAUGGCAACAUGUCCCUGCAGACGUCUUCCUCAAACCUCAACGCCGGCUAUUCUCGACCGUCAGACACCGAGGACGAUGGGAAAGUGUCCAGCGACACCAUUUGGCUGUGGAUUGCUGUGCUGGCAACUAUCGGCAACAUAGUGGUGGUGGCUGUGGUCUGUGCCUGUGCCUUCUGACACGACCGGAGUAAACAAAAAAAAAUCACUGCCGGGAAGCUUGUAUAUCCUGGGAUACGACAAUGUAAAAUGGCUUUAUUUUAAACUCAGGACGAUGGGAUUUUAAAGAGUGAGGUUUUAUGUGAGGAAGUGUUUGUCUGGAACUAUGGACAGAACUACAUUCCAUUCAAGUUUAAAAAAAAAAUCUCCAACCAAACACCUGAAAUCUGUUGUAUUUAAGUUCACCUUUUUAAUAAUAUUUAAACCGCACGCAGACGGUUAAUGAUGUGUAUAUAUAUUCCUCUCUGUUGUGUGAUUAACUAGACAAACCAGCAGGUUUCUUACCAGCACAUAUAUUUCUAACCUGUAUUCCAGUGUUGUAAAGAACACUUGUUGUAAACAAUGUCAAUAAAAUGUUGUCCCUCCAUCUAUAUCAUUGUUUUCUUGUGUUAAGAUGGUUGCAUUUACAACUUAUUUACAUUACAAUACAUUUAGCAGACACUUUUAUCCAAAGUGACCUACAAUUUGAGUCAGUCAAUCCACAAUCAAGCUACAGUUAACAUACAAAAUAAAAAAAUAUAAAUAGUAAUAUACGAUGGCGGUUCUCAAACUAUGGUAUGCAUAUAACAGGCAGCCCCUGGCCGCAUUAGUGAUAGAUAACUGAUUGUAAUGUACGGUAGCCUAUAAAUUCUAUUUUAUUUAUUUCUUUAUUUUUUGCUAUUCGCCUGUGCCACACCACAGCAACAUUCCUGGGCAGGUGCCCAUGUGGUCGAUUUAAGAAACUGCACUUGACUAUGACCCUGGAUUUGUUUAAAAUAAACUCACCACACCUCACCACAAAAUGAUCGAAGGAUGAACUAAUUGAAAGUUAUAACAUAUCGUGGUAACGAUUGCUUUUAAAAUAACGUAUAAAAGUACUUAAUAAUACACAAUUCCUGCCGUACAAAUUAUUUAGAAAAACCUUCAAAAUGAAUGACGCCAAAAUGUUUCUUUAAUUUCGCCCUGUUUCUUCUGCUUGACAGUACCAUGUUUUGCCAUUGGUCAGUUGGUCGUGCCAGAUCAGCCGGUGUUAUAUAAAGCCUUACAAUCACACACACA